rnacentral:snoRNA from 1 species
AGUCUAUGAUGUUUUAAAAUAUAAGAGUAGUGGACAGAAGUGAUUUCUGAGCAAUCUUAUUCUGAGACU